AACGAACGCUGGCGGCAGGCUUAACACAUGCAAGUCGAGCGCCCCGCAAGGGGAGCGGCAGACGGGUGAGUAACGCGUGGGAAUCUACCCUUCACUACGGAACAACUCCGGGAAACUGGAGCUAAUACCGUAUACGUCCUUCGGGAGAAAGAUUUAUCGGUGAUGGAUGAGCCCGCGUUGGAUUAGCUAGUUGGUGGGGUAAUGGCCUACCAAGGCGACGAUCCAUAGCUGGUCUGAGAGGAUGAUCAGCCACAUUGGGACUGAGACACGGCCCAAACUCCUACGGGAGGCAGCAGUGGGGAAUAUUGGACAAUGGGCGAAAGCCUGAUCCAGCCAUGCCGCGUGAGUGAUGAAGGCCCUAGGGUUGUAAAGCUCUUUCACCGGUGAAGAUAAUGACGGUAACCGGAGAAGAAGCCCCGGCUAACUUCGUGCCAGCAGCCGCCGAAC
rnacentral:rRNA from 1 species